UCCGGUUUGGCACCGGCAGUCCUCCCAGAGUCCCCGCCAUGACGCGCUGGCAACUGGGAGCGGGGGUUGCGCUCGUUGCGGGACUUAACCCAACAUCUCACGACACGAGCUGACGACAGCCAUGCAGCACCUGUCUAAGGAUCCCGAAGGAGGGUCCUGGUUUCUCAGGACUUUCCCCUAGAUGUCAAGCCCAGGUAAGGUUCUUCGCGUUGCGUCGAAUUAAACCACAUGCUCCACCGCUUGUGCGGGCCCCCGUCAAUUCCUUUGAGUUUCAGCCUUGCGGCCGUACUCCCCAGGCGGGGCACUUAAUGCGUUAGCGCCGGCACCCAGGGGGUCGCUCCCCCAGGCACCUAGUGCCCAUCGUUUACGGCGUGGACUAC
rnacentral:misc_RNA from 1 species